AAAAUUAUUGAAAUUUUGUCAUAAGUAGAAAAAAUAUUUAUGGUCUAUAAAAAAAAAAGGCUCACAUCAAACAUUCCAAAAUUUCCAAAAGCAAAUUUGAAAUUCGCAUGGCCUAUUUCUCCACGAUCAUUGAUUUCUUCCUUCGAUUUCUUCAUCUCCUCUUCGAGCAUCUCCAAUUCCAAUUUCUUUCUUCAUCUUGUGGAUCUUAGAUUAGCCUACUGACAGAUAGUUGUAGCACCAAGGAUGACUUGAGGCUUCCAACCAAUGAGAGUCUGCUAUCCUAGGUGCCAAGCAAAGAGCAAGUUGAUGCAUUAUCUAGGGAGUUAUAAAGUCGCACCACUGUUCUAAAUUUAGCUUAAUUCUGUGAUGAUUUCUUUAUCUUGUUUGCUACAUUAUUCAAAUCCUAAGUUAUUGCAUAUUUCACCCUAGAA